GCAGAACAGGAGGGAGGUGCCAUGGAUGCUACGGGCAGCGAUAAUAAUGUCUCCUGUGCAAAAGGGAAGUUCUGCCUGCAAAGACAGAAGACAGAGCUAAGAGCUUAUUGCAGCAAGGAUGAUAUGUGAACUCCAGGGUGGAACUGGGCAGCUGUGAAGCCCCACUUUGGAUCUAGCUGGGGUUAGCAAGAACUUAGUCCCCUGUCACAGGACCUGGUUAGUGAAGUUUCAGCUAUACAAACGUCCCAGGGAUUGCAUCUUCUGGAUGUGGCUUUGAUGAGCAUUUGCUGUCUGUGAGUUCUCUGUGCUUCUUUGGGUUGUAUUAUGUAGCUUCUCUGUGGAUGGCAAGACCUCUGUGGUCAGGAGUGGAGUAUGAAGCUAAGGAUGGAGGCCUACGGUCAGCUUCCCCUGGAAAUUGCCAGCUAAGUCUUCCGGGGUGCACAGGGAUGGCUCAGGAACAGCUUGUGCACCUGAUGAAGUGGGGAUUCUUUGUUUCUUGGGAAGCCCAGUUGUGUCCCAUGAUGUUUUUCUGGAAGCUGUCUUGUGAGAGGAUGUUUUGCUGAAGCGGACAUGUGAAAGAGCAUGUGAUGUUUUGCCAAAGCGGACACUUGGGAGGGUGUGUGCCACGGAAGCGCAACACCUCGCUGGACUUCGCUGGUCUUCAUUUCGUAGACGGAAACACACCAAAAAUCUUCUUACAGUAUUCCAGCUGAUUCUGACCGUCUCUGCUGACCUGUGCCAAGUCCCUGGAACCUUGCUGUCUCUGCUGGAUCAUGUUGUUACUGAUGCGCAUUUGAUGUUUGCUAUUGAACUGGACUGCUGGUAUCCUGACAACGAAGGGUGAAAUGGCCCCCAACGAACUACUAAACAGGCCCACAACUCCCUUUUCCUAUCAAACUUGCCCCUCCCCAAGUGACAAGUAACUCUGGUCCCUGCAUUAGUAGAGACCUUGGAGCAUUUCAGAACCCAAAAUAAAGUGGGUUUUGAAAAU
rnacentral:lncRNA from 1 species